rnacentral:rRNA from 1 species
UACGGGGGGGGCAAGCGUUGUUCGGAAUUACUGGGCGUAAAGGGCUCGUAGGCGGCCAACUAAGUCAGACGUGAAAUCCCUCGGCUUAACCGGGGAACUGCGUCUGAUACUGGAUGGCUUGAGUUCGGGAGAGGGAUGCGGAAUUCCAGGUGUAGCGGUGAAAUGCGUAGAUAUCGUAAGGAAGACCAGUGGCGAAGGCGGGUCUCUGGACAGUUCCUGACGCUGAGGCACGAAGGCCAGGGGAGCAAACGGG